GCCCCGCGCGCGCCCCGCGCCGCCGGUAACGAGCGCGGGGCCGGUAACGGAACCCCGCGGGAGCGGCUGCGGAAUGGCGGCAGCUCGGCCCCGUCCCCUCGGGCCGGGGGUUAGGGUGUGUCCGCAGACCCCGGACACCCCCCCGGGCCGGCUCUGCGGGCGGGCGGGGCUCUGAGCACGUCACGGGCCCGGGGACCGGACCGGCCGCGGCACAGCCCCCGGUCACCCCGAUCUCGAGGUCCCUGGGGAGACUGAGGCAGCAGCAAUUCCAGCAGACAAGUGUUGAGAACAACAUCAGAUGAUGCCGAACUCUGAGUGGUGGUGAGAGAACAUAAGUGAGUACAAGGAAUGAAUUUUGCUAAACCUGGGUGCUACCUGCACUGCCAAGCCUUUCAAUAAAGUUUUUGAUGGAUCAAUAGAUC